ensembl:lncRNA
CUGGGGAGGGGGCUGAGUUGGGUUUGCGGCUCUGCUUCCUUUUAGCCAGAACAGCCCUGCUCUGAUGUGUCCUCAACCCUGGCUGCACAUGAGAAUCACCUGGCAGUUUUUUAAAACGUUGAAUCAGGAUCUCUAGGGUGGGCACUGGGAAUAUGUGUAUCUUUCUAAAGUUCUUCAGAUUUUUCUAAAGUCCAGCCAGGAUUAAGAAGCACUGUGCUAUCCUAAGGGGGUGGGGGUGGGAGAGGCUCCACAUUAAGAUUUUGAAAACCACUGACCUCAAAGGAGGACACGGAGGCCCCGAGACCCCUGAGUUGUGCCUCCAGGAGCACUCACAGCAGGCUAGGAGCAAAGCUGCCCUCGGGCCAGAGCUCUCUCUGCCUCUCCCAGGCUCUGGCCCUCAGACCACCCUCGAGCGCCUGCCUUUCUGCAAACUUCUCCGCCUUUCGAUUUGGAGAUUGUGGGGUAAAGAUGGAUAUGCUUGCUUUCUUUUUUGUAAAUUAAGAUUUAUAUUCCUGUUCCACUUAUUAAGGCAAUACUGCUGUAACAAAUAAAUAAGAAGCAAAAGAUGGACAUAAAUAGGCAAUUCACAAAAGAAGAAAUCCAAAAACUGUGCAAACGUGAAAAAGAAUCUCACCAAGAUUUAAAGAGACACCAGUUACACCCGCAAUGAAACACCUUCCCACUCAUCCCGUUGGCAAAGGCGAAUGGCUUGAUGCCACAGAAAUGUGGGCAAGUGGGCACUCCCCCUAAAUUCGUAUCUAUACGAUCUUCUAGAGGGAAUUUGGUAACAUAGAUGAAAAGCAUGAAAACACGCGUUCCAUCGGCUCCAGCGGUUCCACUUCUGGGAAAAUGCAUGUGCCAACAUACAGGCCCGGGAUCGAUUCCCAGCCAUCGAAUUACUGGGCUAAGGGGAAGAACACUUCGAAGGCCCUGGCACUCCCUGCCAAAUUGCUCUCUGAAAUGAUGGGGCCUGUCUCCACUACGCCUGCUGAGCAUGAGCUCGCCCUCAAGAGGCUCAGACAUUAUUCAGUCUCAUCUCACCUUUGUUACUGUUCACCCUCCGACCCUGGCCCAGAGCAAGGGCCUGAGGGUGCUCUAGAAGUUGGAGGAAGAAAACGGGUGCCUGAGGUUGGAAGGAGGAGAAAUGCAGCCGGACCUUGAAAUAGGGGGUAGGCUUGCCUAGGUGCCCGGGCCAGAGAGGUUCAGCUGGCAAAUCAAGCCGACUGGAACUGUGGGGAGCUGUUUUUGGUCCCAGUUCUGCUAUUCACUGGCUGUCUGACCUGUUAUGUCACUUCCCCUCUUUGGGUUUACUAAAGUUCUCCUGACAUUCACAGAUGGAGGGCAGAGGUCUGAGAACCAGUGCAAAAUAUUGCGUCUGUGCAUUUUUUCGGCAGAGUGUUCACAGCUUUCUGCAGGUUCUCAAGAGGUUCUGCCUCACAGACUGGCAGACUCUCUCCCAGUGACUCAGCAGUCCCUCGUGGGCUGCGCGGCUCACUGCUGACUCACCCACACGUGCUCUUAGCAGCUCCUGUCCGAGCUUGUCACAGAGCAUCUGACUGGCUUGGCCAGGCACAGUCCACUGUGAGUCCAGCUUUGGGCAGAGCUCUGGGGCCAGGCCACAGCUUGGGGGCUGGCCAGCCUCCAGAAUAGACUGGCUGCCUGGGACUGUGCUCAUUCCCAGCCCAGAAGGCCGCAAGGCCUCCAGGUUCCAAAUGGGACCUGUGAACAAGGAGCCCCGAGGGAGCUGUGGGCCUGGUGGGACACUCUGGCUUCCCCAGAGGGGACAAGAUGACAUCAGACCUCUUUCAAUUCAGUGUCGAGGGACGCUCCAGCAUCUCCUAAAGCUUAAAAAAGGCUUGCUUCUGGGAUUCUGGCUCUCCCAGAAAUGGAAUUUUAAGCCAGCCAAUCAGGAAUCGCCUGAAGAGCACUAGUGAGGUCGUCUGCCUGACAGACCCCUGCCGUCCCCUGAAGGAAAGUGACCUUGCC